AACGAACGCUGGCAGCAUGCCUAACACAUGCAAGUCGAACGAGACCUUCGGGUCUAGUGGCGCACGGGUGCGUAACGCGUGGGAAUCUGCCCUUGGGUUCGGAAUAACAGUUGGAAACGACUGCUAAUACCGGAUGAUGACGUAAGUCCAAAGAUUUAUCGCCCAAGGAUGAGCCCGCGUAGGAUUAGCUAGUUGGUGAGGUAAAGGCUCACCAAGGCGACGAUCCUUAGCUGGUCUGAGAGGAUGAUCAGCCACACUGGGACUGAGACACGGCCCAGACUCCUACGGGAGGCAGCAGUGGGGAAUAUUGGACAAUGGGCGAAAGCCUGAUCCAGCAAUGCCGCGUGAGUGAUGAAGGCCUUAGGGUUGUAAAGCUCUUUUACCCGGGAUGAUAAUGACAGUACCGGGAGAAUAAGCUCCGGCUAACUCCGUG
rnacentral:rRNA from 1 species